UUUGGAAUAAACCCUAGCAAAUACAUGAAUUAGUCCCUUAAAACCUUUACAAUAAGGCCUUAAGCUCCUAGGAUCAAAUCCGACCCUAGAUCUAAACAGAAAAUCCAUCUUCACUGUCAACUCACGCUUGAGUCAACUCAAACUGAUACUGAGUCGACUCACCCCACUCAACUGGGAUUGAGUCGAUUCAGACUGACACUG
rnacentral:lncRNA from 1 species